GCUAACAUUGUCUUAACUGAUGCUCAACACACAAAUUUGUCGAAAUCUCAAAAAAAGUAUAGAGGGUUUCAUGAACCUUUAAGUUAACCUGAGGAAACUGAACAUAUUACAUGACUUCCAUCUCAUCCCUGAUUUGUGGAAUUGUUACAACUCUCCCUGUUAUAUACACGAUCUACCCUAUAUACAGUAACCAGUACAAAGCAAAUAUCCCAUUCUUAAAUUAUUGCAUAUGUUUGUAUACACUUGUAAGAAUUACUGACAUUUAGUCAGUUUCUGAAUUAAUCAAGACAUGGGGAUUUGUCAUUGUGGUUUAAUCAUUGAUUUGUAUUAUUAUUAUUUUUCCAUGUUUUGUGUGGAAAAGAUACAGCAUACCAAAUUACAUGAUUUUCAUAAUAUCUUGUUAUUUUCUGUCCUGUAAGGUUGUGACGAUCAGGAGACAUGUGUAAUUAAACAGAUGACACCAUGUGGUGCUGGUCCACCGCUUUUACAUACAGUUAGUAUGGAAGGAUUGCCCCCCCCAUUCAUGAAAGAUGAGCAUUUAGAUAUCACAAAGAACGUAGUGUCAACCAGAAGGUCAUCACACAGCCUUUUAACAGAAAAGACUGUUGCCAUAAGGCCAGUGGAUUCCUCACCAACAAAACAAUCACAGACACAAGAAAGAAAAAGACCAUGAGAAACAACACAAACACCUGAGAGGCCAGAACACAGAACCCAAAGAAGACAGAAAUAAAAAGAAGAGUUGCCACACUUUGUAAAAUUAAACACUAUUACACAACAGGAUUAUUGAGGUUAAACAUGGACAAAGUAGGUUUAUCCUACAGUGACUGAAUUAUUAUUAUUAUUAGUUGCAUACAGCUACAGUUCUGCUUCAUAGAUUUGGAGCCCUCUGAAAUCUUUUUUUAAUUGUAGAGCAAUAAUUGGUUUCAGCCAUUAAGUGAAGUUGAGCUUGAUUGUCAUUUCGCUACAUGUGUGGAUAUACAGUUUUAAGAAUGUUGUGUCUCGCAGGACCACAGUGCUAAAUAAACAGACUGGUGUCCUGCAGAGUUUAGCUCCAACCCUAAUCAAAUACACCUUCAUAUUGCAUUUUUUAGUGAUCUUGAUGACACAGAGGGCGUACUCACACUAUUUACACAAAGUCGUUUGAUAUGCAGUGACAUGCAGUCAAAUAUUUCGCCAAACAGAU